UACAGAGGGGGCAAGCGUUAUUCGGAAUUAUUGGGCGUAAAGGGCGCGUAGGCGGCUUUGCAAGUGGCGGGUGAAAUCCCUCGGCUUAACCGAGGAACUGCCUGCCAGACUGUGAGGCUUGAGGCCGGGAGAGGUGAGUGGAAUUCCCAGUGUAGCGGUGAAAUGCGUAGAUAUUGGGAGGAACACCAGUGGCGAAGGCGGCUCACUGGACCGGAACUGACGCUGAGGCGCGAAAGCGUGGGGAGCAAACAGG
rnacentral:rRNA from 1 species